rnacentral:misc_RNA from 1 species
UUUCCGUAGGUGAACCUGCGGAAGGAUCAUUAUCGUACAAAAUGUGAGGGGCAUGCGAGGGCUGUCGCUGACCCAAAAGUUGUGCACGCCCGAGUGUGUCCUCUUGCAUAAUAAUCCAUCUCACCCUUUGUGCAUCACCGCGUGGGCACCCUUCGGGAUCAUCUCGGAGGGGGGCUCGCGUUUUCACACAAACCCCCCUUUUAAAAGUGUAGAAUGACCACAUUUAUGCAAUCAAUACAACUUUCAACAACGGAUCUCUUGGCUCUC